rnacentral:rRNA from 1 species
UACGGGGGGGGGCAAGCGUUGUUCGGAAUUACUGGGCGUAAAGGGCGCGUAGGCGGCCUGCUAAGUCGGAUGUGAAAUCCCUCGGCUCAACCGAGGAACUGCAUCCGAUACUGGCGGGCUUGAAUCCGGGAGAGGGAUGUGGAAUUCCAGGUGUAGCGGUGAAAUGCGCAGAUAUCAGGAGGAACACCGAUGGCGAAGGCAGGUCUCUGGGCAUUAACUGACGCUGAGGAGCGAAAGCAUGGGGGAGCGAACAGG